GGUACCUGGAGAAGAAGCACCGGCCAACUACGUGCCAGCAGCCGCGGUAAUACGUAGGGUGCGAGCGUUGUCCGGAAUUACUGGGCGUAAAGAGCUCGUAGGUGGUUUGUCGCGUUGUUCGUGAAAACUCACAACUCAAUUGUGGGCGUGCGGGCGAUACGGGCAGACUAGAGUACUGCAGGGGAGACUGGAAUUCCUGGUGUAGCGGUGGAAUGCGCAGAUAUCAGGAGGAACACCGGUGGCGAAGGCGGGUCUCUGGGCAGUAACUGACGCUGAGGAGGAAAGCGUGGGGAGCGAACAGGAUUAGAUACCCUGGUAGUCCACGCCGUAAACGGUGGGUACUAGGUGUGGGUUCCUUCCUUGGGAUCCGUGCCGUAGCUAACGCAUUAAGUACCCCGCCUGGGGAGUACGGCCGCAAGGCUAAAACUCAAAGG
rnacentral:rRNA from 1 species